GCCCCCGUCGUCUAGUGGCCUAGGACGCCGCCCUUUCAAGGCGGAGAUCAGGGGUUCGAAUCCCCUCGGGGGCAC
rnacentral:tRNA from 1 species